rnacentral:rRNA from 1 species
UACAGAGGUCCCAAGCGUUGUUCGGAUUCAUUGGGCGUAAAGGGUGCGUAGGCGGCGCGGUAAGUCGGGUGUGAAAUCUCGGGGCUUAACUCCGAAACUGCAUUCGAUACUGCCGUGCUUGAGGACUGGAGAGGAGACUGGAAUUACGGUGUAGCGGUGAAUGCGUAGAUAUCGUAAGGAAGACCAGUGGCGAAGGCGGGUCUCUGGACAGUUCCUGACGCUGAGGCACGAAGGCCAGGGGAGCAAACGGG